UACUUACAUGCAUUAUUAACCACUCCGAUUGUAGAGCAGGUACUAAUAUUAUGGGUUUACGUAUUUCAGUUAAAAGACCCGAAGUAGCAAACCCUGGGUAAAAAUAGUACUUGAGACAGUUAUUUCGGUUAAAUNAUAAUUCUUAGCAGACAAAAAGUAAUUUUUUUUUAAAAUAUUGUUUCUUUCAUUCUUGUAUUGGAUUUCACCAAAUGAAAAAGACUCAUUUAAUUUUAAGAAAUUAUUACUUUUAUAACUAUAAAAAAUCUUUCUAAAUGUAAUGACUAGAAGUGCUACUGAUAAUAAGGAUCCACAAAGAAGAGCCGCAUAGCUCAAUAUCAUCAUACUUACAUGCAUUAUUAACCACUCCGAUUGUAGAGCAGGUACUAAUAUUGUGGGUUUACGUAUUUCAGUUAAAAGACCCGAAGUAGCAAAGCCCUGGGUAAAAAUAGUACUUGAGGCAGUUAUUUCGGUUAAAUAAUUUUUUCUUAUUUUGAAAUAAGGGACUAUAUGAAUAAGGGAGAAACUCCAUGAAAGAAAAAUUAAUGAUUCAUAUAAAUCACUUAGUGGGAAAUGGCCCGAAUAAAUCCAACGAGUGAUUAAUAAUCCUGUUAGACAUAAAAAAGUAACUAUCAUCCCCUUUUCUGACGAAUCAUAUGGUUUUAUGAUUUCAUUGCCCAAUAAGGUUAUCAAAUGAAUUAUAAUUACAAUUGAAACAAUUGAAAAGGAAAUAUGAGUGAAUAUAUGCUCUAAAGUUGAAAAUAUCAUAAAAAUGAAAAAAAAAGGGAGGGAAUCCCCUAAAUUAAUAUUAAUUAAGAAUUAGAAAUCGGGAAUUUAAUUUAUUUUUAUUAUAGGAUCUAUUGGAUAUCUUUUAGAAUAUGUCAUGCCGCUACUCGGACUCGAACCGAGAUGCUCUAGCACUGCUUCCUAAGAGCAGCGUGUCUACCGAUUUCACCAUAGCGGCUUACUCGAACUAAUAAUAGCCUAUUUAUAUUCAAUCGUCGAUAUUGAACAAGUCAAUUCAAUCAAAUAAGUUUUUUAGUCAACACUCAAAUUGAUAAAAAAAAUGAGUUCAAAAGUCAAUUUGAAGGUUCAUUAGUUUCAUUUAUUAGGGUGUCCGUUUAUUUAUCUUAUCUUAGGGCUUUGACAUAGUUUAUCCUAUUCGAAAAUCCAACUUUUGUAAGUAGAUUAUUCUCUCGAUAGAAUAAAAAAACUGUUUUCAUUUUUUACUUUUAUUGAUACUUCAUUAUUUCUCGUUUAUCUGAUUUCAUAAAUUUCAAACAAAAAAUAAAUUUUCUCAAUGAAUCCAAAAUAGGUUAUUUUGGAUUACUUCAAAUUGACACAUUAUUUGUACAUUGACAGAUUAGUUAUACAUAAUAUCUCAACAAUGGAGUUCUUUUAUUAAUUGGGCUCAAAAUUGGAGAUAUAUGGUAAAUCCAUUUCAUAUAGUAAUUACUAAAAAUUAU
rnacentral:lncRNA from 1 species